rnacentral:rRNA from 1 species
UACGUAGGGGGCUAGCGUUAUCCGGAAUUACUGGGCGUAAAGGGUGCGUAGGUGGUUUCUUAAGUCAGAGGUGAAAGGCUACGGCUCAACCGUAGUAAGCCUUUGAAACUGGGGAACUUGAGUGCAGGAGAGGAGAGUGGAAUUCCUAGUGUAGCGGUGAAAUGCGUAGAUAUUAGGAGGAACACCAGUUUCGAAGGCGGCUCUCUGGACUGUAACUGACACUGAGGCACGAAAGCGUGGGGAGCAAACAGG